AGGACGAACGCUGGCGGCGUGCUUAACACAUGCAAGUCGAACGGAAAGGCCCGCUUGCGGGUACUCGAGUGGCGAACGGGUGAGUAACACGUGGGCAACCUGCCCUCAGCUCUGGGAUAACUCCGGGAAACCGGUGCUAAUACUGGAUAUCAACUUUGCCUCGCAUGGGGUGUUGUUGAAAGUUUUUCGGCUGGGGAUGGGCCCGCGGCCUAUCAGCUUGUUGGUGGGGUGAUGACCUACCAAGGCGACGACGGGUA
rnacentral:rRNA from 1 species